rnacentral:tRNA from 1 species
CCGGGGCGAGGGAGCUGGUUGACCCGCCUGGUUUGGGACCAGGACACACCGGGUUCGAUUCCCGGGCCCCGGAC